CGGGCCAUAGCGCAGUCUGGUUAGCGCGUCCGUCUGGGGGGCGGGAGGUCGAGAGUUCGAUUCUCUCUGGCCCGACCA
rnacentral:tRNA from 1 species